rnacentral:rRNA from 1 species
GACGAACGCUGGCGGCGUGCUUAACACAUGCAAGUCACGGGGGCCCGCAAGGGCAACCGGCGAACGGGUGCGUAACACGUGAGCAAGUUUCCGAUUAGGGGGGGAUAGCCGGCCUAACGGCCGGGUAAUACCGCAUACGAUCAUCGGGUGGCAUCUCCUGAUGAAGAAACCUCCGGGGCUAAUCGAGGCGCUCGCGGCCUAUCAGCUAGUUGGCGGGGUAACGGCCCACCAAGGCUAUGACGGGUAGCUGGUCUGAGAGGAUGACCAGCCACAUUGGGACUGAGACACGGCCCAGACACCUACGGGAGGCAGCAGUGGGGAAUAUUGCGCAAUGGACGAAAGUCUGACGCAGCGACGCCGCGUGUGGGAUGAAGCUCUUCGGGGUGUAAACCACUGUUGCCCGGGACGAAAUGCCCUUUCGAGGGAAUUGACGGUACCGGGUGAGGAAGCACCGGCUAACUCUGUGCCAGCCGCCGCGGUAAGAC